GAUGAACGCUGGCGGCGUGCCUAAUACAUGCAAGUCGAGCGAACGGACGAGAAGCUUGCUUCUCUGAAGUUAGCGGCGGACGGGUGAGUAACACGUGGAUAACCUACCUAUAAGACUGGGAUAACUUCGGGAAACCGGAGCUAAUACCGGAUAAUAUUUUGAACCGCAUGGUUCAAAAGUGAAAGACGGUCUUGCUGUCACUUAUAGAUGGAUCCGCGCUGCAUUAGCUAGUUGGUAAGGUAACGGCUUACCAAGGCAACGAUGCAUAGCCGACCUGAGAGGGUGAUCAGCCACACUGGAACUGAGACACGGUCCAGACUCCUACGGGAGGCAGCAGUAGGGAAUCUUCCGCAAUGGGCGAAAGCCUGACGGAGCAACGCCGCGUGAGUGAUGAAGGUCUUCGGAUCGUAAAACUCUGUUAUUAGGGAAGAACAUAUGUGUAAGUAACUGUGCACAUCUUGACGGUACCUAAUCAGAAAGCCACGGCUAACUACGUG
rnacentral:rRNA from 1 species